rnacentral:ncRNA from 1 species
AAAAUCAGUGGCAAUGGUGUCUGCCCUGAACCGCCCUUUUACAAGGGAUAAUGGCGCCUGUUAUCGU